rnacentral:lncRNA from 1 species
AUCAUUCUGGUUAGCGAAGUUGUUUUUUUUCUGAUAUGGUCUUCUUCAGUGAGCUCACAUUAGGGAGAAGACCAUGGGUGCACUCUCUUUGAAGAUACAUGGACCAACUCAAAGCAACACUGAAAGCCACUGGAAUUGAACCUAAAUCAUUUGAAACACAAGCCUGAGACUGUACCAAGUGGCAGUGUUCCAUCACCAUUAGAACCCAAAACUUUGAAACCACCAAAAGAGAAAAGGAAGAACUCCAGCGACAGGAGAGAAAGGCUCAACAAAACCAACCUCGUCCUUCACCAACAUUGCCAUUCAGUCAAUGCCAUUGGCUCUUCUAUGCAAGAAUUGGUCUACAGUCAUCAAUGCCAUUACCAUAAAGGAAGCGUUCAGCAAAGAAGGAAAUAAAUUCUUGGAUACGAGAUAAAGCUGCCACCAUUGACAAGUGUAUCUGAGACUACAUUAUCCAAUGUGCUUUUUCCUUUAACAAGACUGUGUGUUAUUCAAGUGAGAUUUCACUGGUAUUUUAGCAGUUCAAGAAACUACAUAAAGAUUCCCCAAUUGAUCUGCAAGAAAUAGCAGCCAAAUCUUCCUCAAAUUACAAAUAUCUUAAAAGGGAAAGAGCACAUUGGAUAUGCGAGGAGAAAACAAAGAAAAACUUCAACAGCUGGAGCAAGGCUGACCUAGAACUAAAAAGCAACAACUUAGCUUAAUUUACUUAUUGUUUGCUGUGUCUAUCAUUUGUUUUAUCUCAUUCAAACUAGCCACACCAGUGGAUCUGUCGACACGUUACCAUUUAAUUGUUGGAAAACAUCCAAUAAAUUGCACAGAAAACACCAUUUUUCUUUAUAUAUUUCAUUAUUUGAUAAUUUACAUCAUUAUAAAAUAUGAAUAUGUCUUUAGUAUUGUGAAGGUUGAAGGAUUAAACCUUCAGCAAUACUCUCUAUUCUACACUAUAUACAUGAUCUAUACUAUUGUUUUUUCUUUUUUUUUACAUAGAUGAUGACGUGUUAAGCCUUAAACAAGACACUCCACUCUAUUCUAUGUCAAUACAUCAAGAGAGUCUAAUACUGUUACUAUUAUGAAAGUUAGUUAAACCUAACACAAGACACAUUUUUCUACUAUACACAUAUGUAUGGAUGUGUGUGUGUAUAUAUAUACAUAUA